rnacentral:lncRNA from 1 species
GAAAGAAUCAUCGUGAAGGACCUCGCUGAAGAUCUCUAUGAUGGCCAAGUCCUGCAGAAGCUCUUCGUCACCUCUCUGCACUUGUCGGAACAGUUGAAAAGCUUCUGAGCUUGCAUCUACUCAUCUCAUCCCACCUCUUCUGGUCUGUUGCCUGCUAGCUGCGUCACCUGGUUAAAUCACAGGUCCUGUCCACCCUCAUCUAAAACUCCCAGUGGCCUUCUUGCUGAUCACCAUCCAGACCACUUAGUGCAACACUUAGGACCUCAGAUUUUUCUCCACAGCCCCACAACUCUCUGUAGCUUCUCCCCAGACACCUCUACACACAUGCUCACAAGACAGGGCAAGUCAGGUGAAGUAAGUGGCUAUCCUUGCUGUUGGUUCUACAAUCUGUAUGUCCACCACAGUGAAUUAUUUCAUAGCCAUGUGUUCAGCCCGAUACUUCACUCUUGUGUCUGUCUCUAAGGCCCGUUUUCCUCCACCAUCCAUCAAGACACCAUUAUUGUUCAUCCAUCUGGCCUCAGGGUCUCCCUUUUAUACCC